UCUUCUCAACCCUUCCGUCUUUUUCACCGGAGACUGUCGGGCUUGGAUGUGGAGGUCUUGCAGGCAUCUGGAUCUUUUGAUUCAGAAGUCGGCUCCUCUGAAAUGCAUUAGCUUGAAUAGUACCAAGCAUGAUUCAGCGUGAUAAUUGUCUACGUUGCUUCGUCUCGGUGAAUUAAAUGUUCAAGCUUCUAACCGUCCCUCGGGACAAUCUCUGAAC
rnacentral:misc_RNA from 1 species